GGGGAUAUAGCUCAGUGGUAGAGCAUUCGACUGCAGGUCGAGAGGUCCCUGGUUGGAACCCGGGUGUCCCCU
rnacentral:tRNA from 1 species